GUCGCUGCAAACUCAGCGACCGGGUGUGGAAACCCGAGUAAUUCAAGGCGCAACAGCGCUCCCAUCAUGUCUGCAGGUCUUUUU
rnacentral:sRNA from 1 species